rnacentral:rRNA from 1 species
CCUACGGGGAGGCAGCAGUGGGGAAUUUUGGACAAUGGGGGCAACCCUGAUCCAGCCAUUCCGCGUGAGUGAAGAAGGCCUUCGGGUUGUAAAGCUCUUUCGCAAGGGAAGAAACGUCCAUCUCUAAUANAUAUGGNUNAUGACGGUACCUUGAUAAGAAGCACCGGCUAACUACGUGCCAGCAGCCGCGGUAAUACGUAGGGUGCGAGCGUUAAUCGGAAUUACUGGGCGUAAAGCGAGCGCAGGCGGUUUUNUAAGCCAGAUGUGAAAUCCCCGGGCUCAACCUGGGAACUGCGUUUGGAACUGCCAGGCUAGAGUGUGUCAGAGGGAGGUAGAAUUCCACGUGUAGCAGUGAAAUGCGUAGAGAUGUGGAGGAAUACCGAUGGCGAAGGCAGCCUCCUGGGAUAACACUGACGCUCAUGCUCGAAAGCGUGGGGAGCAAACAGGAUUAGAUACCCUGGUAGUCCACGCCCUAAACGAUGUCUACUAGUUGUUGGAGGAGUNAAAUCCNUCAGUAACGCAGCUAACGCGUAAGUGACCGCCUGGA